CAUAAUUUUCUUUCCCUUUCCAUUUGUUUAUUUCUCUAUGCUUAAAUUUUCUGUCUCUUUGCACCAAAAUAAUGGUUUAUCAGACAGUGGUAUAAUGACUCAACAUGUUGAUUUAUCCGACAAAUUUCUAUGCUGAAUGCAAUCCAUGAAGCACAUGGAAAGGAAAACCGUCAGGGUCACCGAAUAAAAUGAGAAUCACAGCAUGACUGGUUAGGUUCACUUAAAAAGCCUUACCCGGUAUUCGUUCUAGCCAAAAAGGGUAUCUAGGAGUGAGUUCAGUAGUUAACCUCAUAAGGGAAGGGUGUUGGUUGGUUAAGUUUAGAUUGUGGGGGCAGGCUGGUCUAGUUUGCUUUCUUUCUUCUCCUUUUUCUUUUUCUUUUUCUUUAUAUUUCUUUUUCUGUUGUGUUUGUAAUUGGUCUAAUUUUUAGACCCUUCUUCUUAAUACAAUGAUACGCAGCUCUCCUGCGUGUUCGGAAAAAAAAAGUUGGAGCGGCCAUCCAUGAGUAAACCACCAAGCCAGUGAAUCAUAAUGCUGAGCCGUUAGGUGACUAUUCCAGCUUUUUUCUGGAUGGUACGUUGUAGUGCUUAAAAAAUAGGAGCCUAGCAGUACCUAGGCAUUGACUAGACACAACGCUGUGGUUUGACCCUGCUCCUGGACUAGAUGGACAUGCUUCCAGGCAAAAUAGGAGGUGAGGCAUCGGAGGAAGUUAUGAUAAUUGAGGUAGCGAAGGUGCUUACAAUGCUGUGGUAAAGUCCAUGGGCUAGGAGUGUGCUGAUCCGGGUUCGAAUUUGUGGUGCCACACUAUAUUACAAUUCUGGGGUUUUCCCUGGAGUAUUCUUUCAAAAAAGAAAAUGAUAACUGAGUUGGGUUACGAAGCAUUGUCAAUGGCUGUAAUGCAAGAGUCUGGUGUUUUUUUUCAAACGAUGCAUGCUCCUUCAUCCCCACUCUCUUUGUCACUCUUGUCCUCGUCCUUCCCUACCUCACACCCCAACCCCCUACUUUUAGGUGGCUAGCUAGAUGGUGCCAGUACUGAUGGUGCCAUGGCUACUGAAGUUCAUGUGGGAAAUGUUGAAUAGAAGAAGCGUAGUUCUUGUUUACGUUUUCGGCUAUGUUUGGUGUGUUAGCCAGUUUGUGUGUUCAGGAUCAGGGGUGUCCGUGCGGGCUUUAAAGCCUUGUUUGAUUUCAGUUGAGUGUGAUUUUUUUUAUCGAACACACAGGAGAGCUGCGUGUCAUUAUAUUAAGAAGAAGAAAAAAACAAAUAACAGUGGGGGAAAGAAACCCCAAUACAAUCACAGCGCGCAGCUUGGGCACACACUACAGGGACCCUAAUCAUCUGCCGGCUCCAAACUGGAAACAGCAGCAGGAAGCACGCCUGCAACACAUGUAGACACCCCUACACCUAGCCGAAACUAACCCGUAGGACUCUGCGCUUGAAGGAAGGAAAUCCCCUUAGCACCAGCCAACAACCACAAAAAGGCUUCCUCCUUUGCCAACCUAACAGCCACGACCAUAUUCAGAGGAGAUCCUUGAAAGACAAUAACAUUCCUUUGUUUCCACAACAUCCAAGCUCCCAGGACAACCAUAGAGUCAAAUCCUUUUUUGCUUAGCCGACUCAAACGAGCACUAUUGAAGCACCACCACUGAUCAAAAUCAUUCUUACUCGGCCUUGGAUGAAGGUUGUGCAUCCCAAAGGGCCCGAGCAUUCCUCUCUAAUAUAUAAGAUGCGCAGUUCUCCUGCGCGUUCGAUAAAAAAAGGGCCCGAGCAGCUCAAACCAAAACUACCGCACAAAGGAGCAGCCCACCAGCAGGUGGUUGAUUGUCUCAUCCUGCCGAUCACAUAGCGGGCAAUGGAUGGGAUGAGUUAGCCCUCUUCUUGCUGUUAAGGCCCAUUAGGCCUAGGCCUACUGUCUAUAUAUAUAUCAUAUGUCAUUAGGGACUAAUUAUCAUUUGUCAAUCCCAAGGUUAGUAACAUGGUAAUAGAGGAUGUUAAGAUUAGGGUUUUCCUAAAUUUCUAGCCGCCGUAGCCUUCCCACCCAUCAGCCGUAGCGGCCUUCCCACCUAGCCGCCGUCGCGGUCCUCUCCUGUUGGCCGCCGUCGAGGUCCUCUGCCUCUACCAGGCUGCGCGGCCCUUCGUCGCGCGCGCCGUCUUCGUCCGCCGCCGCGCGGCUUCCCCUCGCGUAGCCCGUCGUCGUGCGCGCGGUCCGCCGGCAUCAUCUUCGUCCACCGCCGUCGCGCGGUUCCCCCGCGAGCGGUCCGCCUCGCCAGCCGCCGUCGCGGCCUCCCGUCAGCCGCUGUUGCGCGGUUUCCCCGCGUGCGGAGCUGCUGCGACCCCCGCAUCUGCGCCGUUCGUCGCGGCCCCGCUGUUCUUCGCCGUCAGCGCGCAACACAGGGUGUUCGCUGCCGCACCAUCUGCGUCGUCCUGCCGUCUGCUUCUGCGUCGCACGCAGCCUAGACCAGAUCUGCUGUACUCUGUUCGAUCUGCUAUGAAUUUGCACGGUUUCGUCCAGGAAUGCAACCGGCGUAUCCACUGUUCAUCCGCUGCUCCCGCUAGGGAUUUUGGUACCAUUCAGCCAGUCUCUCUCAGAUCUGUUAUUCUUUAGUGUUUUAUUGCUCUUCAAUAUGUCAGCCAACGCUAUUGUUGUCAAUAUUGUGCUUGAUGGGCAGAAUUACCCAGAAUGGGCCUUUUGUGUUUAGACUGCAUUAAGAGGUCACGGUUUACUAUUUCAUUUGACUGAAGAUUCACCAGUUUUAGCAGCCGAUAGAAGCAAUGCUGCUGCAAUCAAGACUUGGCAGAUCAAUGAUGGUAAGGUAAUGACUGCAAUGGUCAAAAGCACUAAACCAACUAUGAUUAUGAGUCUGUCCAAAUUCACCACUGCUAAAGCUAUCUGGUCACAUCUGAAGGACCGGUUUGUUCAGGACAGCGGUGCUCUUUUACAUACCCUUAUGCAACAGACUCAUGUCAUUGAGCAACAUGAUAUGUCCAUUGAUGAAUACUAUUCCGCCUUUGAUCGUCUUAUGAGUGCAUUGACCUCUAUGGUGCCUGCUUGUACAGCUGUGCCUUGCCCAGCUCACAAGUUCAUCGAGAAGUUUUUUACCUACAGAUUUGUUAUGGGAGUUCAAUCUGAAUUUGAUUCUCUUCGUGCAAGACUGCUUCACAGUUCUGAUACUCACCAUGGCUCAGGCGUUGUCUGAAUUACUUGCUGAAGAGACUCGUCUUAAGUCUAUGUCUUCUAUUACUGGUGUGAGUUCUGACAGUGUGUUGGCCGCUGCUCAGAAGUCAAGAAACACCUGUUUCCAGCCUUGUGAACAUUGCAAAAUGGCCACUCAUCGGUCUGAGAACUGCUUUGCUAAGUUUCCAGAGAAGUUGGCUGAUUUCCGUGUCCGUCGUGCUACUCGUGGUCGUGGUACAGGACCAUCUCCUAGAGGCUCAGUUGCAGUUGCUGCUACUUCAUCUGCUGGUGCUUUGUCAUCAUCUUGGGUUCUUGAUUAUGGAGCUUCUUUUGUGACAUCUGAUCAAUCACGGUUGGCGUCUACUACACCUGUCACCGAGGGUACUUCUGUUCAGACUGCUGAUGGAUCGAACACACAAGGGAUGUGAUUGGGACUGGCCAUCGUCGUAAAUCUUCGCCUCGCCUCUACAUCUUGGACACCUUGCAUCUUCCUUCACACCAUAUCACCACAACUCAUGUGCUUGCUGCUUCAUUCCCUCGACGUCGUUCGCCCAAUGGCAUCAUUGUCUUGGUCACUUAUGUGGAUCUCGUCUGUCUACUCUAAUAAAGUCAGGAUGUUUAGGUCCUACACAUGUUGAGUCUAGUUUUCAUUGUAAAGGUUGUCAUCUUGGCAAACAAAUACAACCUCCAUAUUUUACCCGUUUGUUUCUAAAGGUGGUCAUAAUAUUAUGUCAUUUUUAUUGAUGAUUAUUCUCGUUA